UGUUAAAAAUUUCAUCUAUUUUUAUUAUUAAAAAAUAACUUGGUUGAUAGAAUGAUUAGGAAGUUACACGUGGCACGUGUACCUCAUUUGGCGUACAAUGACCAAUUUUUAAUAGUAGAAAUGGAUAUAAUUCUUAAUA
rnacentral:pre_miRNA from 1 species